rnacentral:rRNA from 1 species
GACGAACGCUGGCGGCGUGCCUAAUACAUGCAAGUAGAACGCUGAAGAGAGGAGCUUGCUCCUCUUGGAUGAGCGGCGAACGGGUGAGUAACGCGUGGGUAACCUGCCUUUUAGCGGGGGAUAACUUUUGGAAACGAUAGCUAAUACCGCAUAACAAAUUGAAACACAUGUUUUAUUUUUGAAAGACGCAAUUGCUGCACUACAAGAUGGACCUGCGUUGUAUUAGCUAGUAGGUGAGGUAAUGGCCCAACCAGGCGACGGUACCUAGCCGGACUGAGAAGGGGGUUGGCCAAAAUGGGAACGGGAAACGGCCCAAAACCCUAAGGGAAGGAGCAGGAAGGGAACUUCGGCAAAGGGGGGAAAGCUGAACGGGGGAAGCCGGGGUAGUGGAGAAGGGUUUCGGAUCGUAAAACUCUGUUGUUAGGGAAGAAAGAGUGUGAGAGUGGAAAGUUCACAUUGUGACGGUACCUAACCAGAAAGGGACGGCUAACUACGUG